GAAGCGGCAACAGCUCAAAUUUGAAAUCUGACCCUUUGGGGUCCGAGUUGUAAUUUGCAGAGGGUGUUUCGGGCACGGUGCCGGUUUAAGUCCUUUGGAACAGGGUGUCAUAGAGGGUGAGAACCCCGUAUGUGACCGGUCGCCAAACCCAUGUGAAACCCCUUCGACGAGUCGAGUUGUUUGGGAAUGCAGCUCAAAAUGGGUGGUAAAUUUCAUCUAAAGCUAAAUAUUGGCCAGAGACCGAUAGCGCACAAGUAGAGUGAUCGAAAGAUGAAAAGCACUUUGGAAAGAGAGUCAAACAGCACGUGAAAUUGUUGAAAGGGAAGCGCUUGCGACCAGACUUGCUCGCGGGUGAUCAGCGGUGCUUUUCGCGCCGUGCACUCAUCCGCGAUCAGGCCAGCAUCGGUUCAGGCGGCCGGACAAAGACUCGGAGAAUGUAGCUCCCUCCGGGGAGUGUUAUAUCUCCUUGUGCAAUACGACCAGCCGGGACCGAGGACCGCGCU
rnacentral:rRNA from 1 species